rnacentral:tRNA from 1 species
UGCCGGAUGGUGAAAUGGCAUCACAGGUGACUCUGAAUCACCUAUUCUAGGUUCGAAUCCUAGUCCGGCAACCA